ACUGCAUGAAGAUUCUUUUGUGUUUCCAGGGACCACUGAUGUUUACGACACCAUAAACCCAGACUACAUUCCUCUGCAACACAAAACCUCCGACGUAUAUGAAACAUUGCAAAUCAAAGAUGGACAGAACCGUGACAAUGUUGAAGAGUACGAGGAUGCAGACUUUUGAAAUCCCACCGCACAACCACUCAGCAUCACUGACAUUACUUAAUAAUAAUUAAUACACCUUUCAUAACCAUGUAUAUUAUAAUGUGUUAGAGAUGGUCCAAGCAAUGUGUAAAUAAAUGCAUUUUCAAUGAACUGUGUAUAAACUGUAUCAACUGUGCACAACAUUUGCUCUGUAC